rnacentral:rRNA from 1 species
CAGCAGCCACGGGAAUACGUAGGGUGCGAGCGUUAAUCGGAAUUACUGGGCGUAAAGCGUGCGCAGGCGGUUUUGUAAGACAGGCGUGAAAUCCCCGGGCUCAACCUGGGAAUGGCGCUUGUGACUGCAAAGCUAGAGUGCGGCAGAGGGGGAUGGAAUUCCGCGUGUAGCAGUGAAAUGCGUAGAUAUGCGGAGGAACACCGAUGGUGAAGGCAAUCCCCUGGGCCUGCACUGACGCUCAUGCACGAAAGCGUGGGGAGCAAACAGGAUUAGAUACCCCAGUAGUCCCUGUCUCUUAUAC